UACGUAGGGGGCUAGCGUUGUCCGGAAUCAUUGGGCGUAAAGCGCGUGUAGGCGGUUCGGUAAGUCCGCUGUGAAAGUCGGGGGGCUCAACCCUCGGAUGCCGGUGGAUACUGUCGGACUAGAGUACGGAAGAGGCGAGUGGAAUUCCUGGUGUAGCGGUGAAAUGCGCAGAUAUCAGGAGGAACACCGAUUGCGAAGGCAGCUCGCUGGGACGUUACUGACGCUGAGACGCGAAAGCGUGGGGAGCGAACAGG
rnacentral:rRNA from 1 species